GAUGAAGAACGUAGCAAAAUGCGAUACUUGGUGUGAAUUGCAGAAUCCCGUGAACCAUCGAGUUUUUGAACGCAAGUUGCGCCCGAAGCCUUUUGGCCGAGUGCACGUCUGCCUGGGCGUCACGCAUCGCGUCGCCCCCCACAAUUCUCCGUAAAGGGAACGUGUGUUUUGGGGGCGGAUAUUGGUCUCCCGUGCUCAUGGCGUGGUUGGCCGAAAUAGGAGUCCUUUCGAUGGACGCACGAACUAGUGGUGGUCGUAAAAACCCUCGUCUUUUGUUUCGUGCUGUUGCUCGCAAGGUAAACUCUUUAAAAACCCCAAUGUGUCGUCUCUUGACGACGCUUCGACCGCGACCCCAGGUCAGGCGGGACUACCCGCUGAGUUUAAGCAUAUCAAUAAGCGGAGGA
rnacentral:misc_RNA from 1 species